CGUGUUUUUAACGUAAACAUAUUAAAUUCAUGUUAUAUUCCCGUGAUUUUGCUUCGUUUCAUAUUUAUUAAAUUUAAUCAUGUUGAGGUGGCUUGAAAAAAUCAUGUUCAAACUCAAAACCGGAAGACGUGUAAAGGGAGGGAAGAAGACGGAAACAGUUACAUUUUUCACAGAUCCCGAGCACUGAACAGAUUUGCAAAUUGGAAGUCAGCAAAACAAUGACGUCAAUGUGUCAAUGAUGGAGAAGUCCUUUUCACGUGGAAGGCAGGAUGUUGUCGUAGAGGCACCCAUCAUUCCUGAUUUCAAAACAAGGUGGCCAGCACUCCUCAGCGUGGGUCAGUUGAAUGCAGAGUUCCAGAGAAUCACAACAGUCCAGCUGCACUCAAAGUUCUUCAUGGAAUUGGAUGAUCUGUCUCCUCGUCUCUUGAAGGUGUAUGCCAAGAAAGGUGGUUUACAGGGACAGAAGCUGGUACCCAUGACCCAGGUAAAAGAAAAUUAAAAAUGUGAAAAACAUUUUUUAAAUCCAUUGCCAAAUGAUCGUUUAUUGUCUUAACAAAUCCGAUAAAGCUCUAUUAAAAGCAGGAAGGAG